GACGUAGGGGGCCAGCGUUGUUCGGAAUUACUGGGUGUAAAGGGUUCGUAGGCGGUGCGGCAAGUUGGGAGUGAAAUCUCUGGGCUUAACCCAGGGGCUGCUUCCAAAACUGCUGUGCUUGAGUGUGGGAGAGGCGCGUGGAAUUGCAGGUGUAGCGGUGAAAUGCGUAGAUAUCUGCAGGAACACCCGUGGCGAAAGCGGCGCGCUGGACCACUACUGACGCUGAGGAACGAAAGCUAGGGGAGCAAACAGG
rnacentral:rRNA from 1 species